GACAGAGGGGUGCGAACGUUGCUCGGAAUUACUGGGCGUAAAGCGCGUGUAGGCGGACUAGUAAGUCGGACGUGAAAUCCCUGGGCUCAACCAGGAACUGCAUCCGAAACUAUUAGUCUGGAGUGGUGGAGAGGAAAGCAGAAUUCCUGGCUGUAGAGGUGAAAUUCGAUAGAUAUCAGGAGGAACACCGGUGGCGAAGGCGGCUUCUGGACACUAACGUGACGCAUGACGACGGCGAAAGCGUGGGAGCAAC
rnacentral:rRNA from 1 species